AACGGUCUAUACCUGCGGUACCUGCGGAGGGAUCAUUACAGAGUUGCAAAACUCCCUAAACCAUUGUGAACGUUACCUAAACCGUUGCUUCGGCGGGCGGCGCCCUCGCGCGCCCCUGGGCCCCACCGCGGGCGCCCGCCGGAGGUCACCAAACUCUUGAUAUUUAUUGGCCUCUCUGAGUCUUCUGUACUGAAUAAGUCAAAACUUUUAACAAUGGAUCUCUAGAUCGGAAGAGCACAC
rnacentral:misc_RNA from 1 species